ACUUUUGCUACCAGAAGUGAAAGCAUUUUCAGAGUAUCACUGUGCGCCAUUUUACACCAGGACGUAAUAAGAUUAUUUAAAUGAAAAAAGUGCUUAAUAGUAGGAUAUAUAUUAUAAUAUCUUUUUAGGUGCCGAUGCAGGAAUCUAGGUGUUGGGAAACUCCUAAGGAUGAGGAAACCACAUACAUGAUGGAACUUGUGGUAGGCUUACCUACAGUAACAUUUUGAUCAAGCCAUUAAAUGACUUGAGACUUGACUCGGACUUGUGACCAAAGACUCGAGACUUGAUCCAGACUCCAGGGAUAAAGACUUCAGAAUUGAGUCAGACUCCAACUUAGACUUGUGAACAUCUCUGGUUUAAACUAAAGAAGAAAAAGAAAAAAGUUUUAGCCGUGCAGCUCUAUGAAGACUGAAUGAAUCAUGGAGAACAAAGAAACAUUCAGCAAUGAAGAUUUUUCUCCAGAAUGCAGGUAUGUCAAAGUCUUCAUAUAAGGAAAUACUAGUUGUCUAUCAUAUUUUGAUGCUAAGAUAUAAUUAAAGGUGCCAUAGAAUGGAAAACUGUAUUUACCUUGGUAUAGUUGAAUAAGAGUACUGUACAUGGAAAUGACAUACCAUGAGCCUCAAACACCAUUGUCUCCUCCUCCUUAUGUAAAUCUCAUGCAUGCAAAAGACCACUGAAAAAGAGGCGAAUCCCAACAUAACACUGACUAUGACGUUACAUUAAUGUUUACGCCCCCAACAUUUGCAUAACAGAUACCAGGGGUGUUCUAGGACUAGGCCAGCCGGACCUGCACAUAGGCGAAUCAUUGAUGCAGUGUUGCCAGAUAUUGCUAUUAAAACAAACAAAAACAAUAAACA